UACGUAGGGUGCAAGCGUUGUCCGGAAUCAUUGGGCGUAAAGAGCGUGUAGGUGGCUCGGUAAGUCCGCUGUGAAAGUCCAGGGCUCAACCCUGGAAAGCCGGUGGAAACUGUCGAGCUAGAGUCCGGAAGAGGCGAGUGGAAUUCCUGGUGUAGCGGUGAAAUGCGCAGAUAUCAGGAGGAACACCAAUGGCGAAGGCAGCUCGCUGGGACGGUACUGACACUGAGACGCGAAAGCGUGGGGAGCAAACAGG
rnacentral:rRNA from 1 species